rnacentral:rRNA from 1 species
AGCAGUAGCCACGGUAAUACGUAGGGUGCGAGCGUUAAUCGGAAUUACUGGGCGUAAAGCGUGCGCAGGCGGUUUUGUAAGACAGGCGUGAAAUCCCCGGGCUCAACCUGGGAAUGGCGCUUGUGACUGCAAAGCUAGAGUGCGGCAGAGGGGGAUGGAAUUCCGCGUGUAGCAGUGAAAUGCGUAGAUAUGCGGAGGAACACCGAUGGCGAAGGCAAUCCCCUGGGCCUGCACUGACGCUCAUGCACGAAAGCGUGGGGAGCAAACAGGAUUAGAUACCCCUGUAGUCCCUGUCUCUUAUAA